AUGGAUUCUGUUAUAAACCGAAUGGUCAGGAUUUGUUAUGAUUUUGACUUAGUUAUGAGUUGGAAUUCUGAAUCUGUUUCUCUCCCUUUCUGUCAUGACUUAAAAUGGCCAGCUCAUGUUGUUUCGAUCACUUAUUUCACAAUUUUUAGAUAUCCUUUUUACCUCUUUUCCUGA